CUUCCAUUGACAUGGCUGGUUGUAGUUGUGCCAAAUUGUUUUGUUGGUUACAAUUGGUCCCCUUCAACCAGCUAUGCCUGUUUUGGAAA
rnacentral:pre_miRNA from 13 species